UACGGGGGGGGCAAGCGUUGUUCGGAAUUACUGGGCGUAAAGGGCGCGUAGGCGGGCUCGUAAGUCAGGGGUGAAAUCCCACGGCCCAACCGUGGAAGUGCCUCUGAUACUGCGGGCCUCGAGGGGGAUAGGGGCGUGCGGAACUCAGGGUGGAGCGGUGAAAUGCGUAGAUAUCCUGAGGAACACCGGUGGCGAAAGCGGCGCGCUGGAUCCCUUCUGACGCUGAGGCGCGAAAGCCAGGGGAGCAAACGGG
rnacentral:rRNA from 1 species